UCGUUUUCCCGGCGAAUAUCGCCGUAAUUUCCGUCGUCAUAAUCCUCAUUUUUCUCGUUCAGAUCCGUGAAUUUUCUUUUUUAUUCCUCAAACUCCUCCUAUCUCACUUCUUCUAGCGAAGAACAGCAGCCUCUUCGUCGUCGAAAUCUCUCGUUUUGUUUAGCGAAGAACCGGGUGGUUUUCCGUCCCCGAGCUCCUCGUUUCUCCAGCGAAGAUUCAGACGAUUCUUUGACGUCGAACUCCUCGCCUCUCCUUCGAUCUUACGAGCUGCAGAGAGUGGGCGUGCAGAUUAUCUGAUGCGUUCGAUGAAAUCUUUACAUUUCGAACGAGAAUCGCGCAUUCGUUUCUCCUUUCCCGAUCGCGAUCUUCCCGUCUGUUCCACCU
rnacentral:lncRNA from 1 species